GCUUAUUAGCUCUCGAGCUGUCUGCCCUUGACUGACCCACGUGAGUCCGUUUAGCUUCGCGCAGUCCCAAGCCAAGCCGGUAGCUAAUCAAACUAGCUAAACAAGAGAGAGGCGGAAUUAAAACUACUUGUUUUAUCUCCUUAUUUCAGUCCGAACGGUCUGGCCGGACACCAGGCUAAGCUAACAUGUCACGUAGCAGCAAGUCCAUGUUGUUUCUGCUGCAGCGGUGCGUCGCAGUCAGAAAAGUUACGCUACCGGCAGCUAUCAGAACAAGAUGGAGCAGCGCGCUGUCGGCCCGGAGCCUGCUCGCUCUGCCGCCGACAUGGACCUCCACAACCUGGGCAGUCGGUCAGCUGCAGUGCGCGGUGACAACCAGCCAGUACCGGUUCUGUACCAAGGCAGGAGAACCUUGCGAGGACGAGUACCCCCCCCUGCCGGCCUAUCAGUCUGAUCCAGAUCAGGGGAAGAAGGAGGUGUACAUCAUGCAGGUGAGGGGUCUCCCCUGGGGCUGCUCGGCUCAGGACCUCCUGCAGUUCUUCUCAGAGUGUCGGAUACGUGACGGCGUGAAGGGGAUCCACCUCACCGCGGACCGGGCGGGGAGGUCCUCGGGACAGGCCUUCAUCGAGAUGGAGCACGAGGAGGACGUCGGAAAGGCUCUGGAGAAGCACCGGCAGUACCUCGGCCCGCGAUAUGUGGAAGUGUACGAGGUGACCAACAGCGACGCGGAGGCCAUCCUGAAGAAGGCCGCCCAGGCUCCGGCGGGGAGCGAGGCGGUGGUGCGUAUCAGAGGGCUCCCCUACUCCUCCACCAAGGACGACAUCGUGCAGUUCUUUUCGGGUCUGGACAUCGCGGAGGAUGGGAUCACCGUGGUCACGGACCGCAAAGGGAGGAACUCCGGAGAGGCCUUUGUGCAGUUCUCCUCCCAACAAGCAGCCGACGAAGCGCUGCAGAGAGACCGAGAGGUCAUCGGAGAGAGAUACAUCGAGGUGUUUCCCAGCAGAAGGGACCAGAUUCAUUCCAGUAAGACGCGGAAGACGAGCUCGGCUUUCCCUCAGGCAGAGCACAGGGCCGCCUUCGCCUCGCAGACCAGGACUGGGUCCGCUCACUUCAUCCACAUGAGGGGGCUUCCCUUCAAGGUGACCAGAGACGACAUCGUUAAGUUCUUCGCUCCUCUCGACGUGUCGGAGGUGGUGAUUGACAGCCGCGCCGGAGGACGGCCGAGCGGCGAGGCAGACGUUUACUUCAGCUGCCACCAGGACGCCAUGAACGCCAUGUCCAGAGACCGGAUGUACAUAGGAGAAAGAUACAUCGAGUUAUUCCUGAACUCUGACUCCGAUGGAAAGAAGUGAGAAAGCUGGAACGUCUCGACAGAACAAUGCUCAAUUUAGAUAUUUCUGAUUCUCGUGGUGUCUGUGCUGCAUCCCUCGUUUAAUAUGUCAGUUUACUAGUUUUAGCGACAGACUCCACAUGUGCUUUAACAAGUUCUAUUUUCCCCUGCAGGUGAACAAAGACGCCCAAAAUACACACAGGACUGUUAUUGAUUUGCCAGCUCGGCCUGGACAUCGAACGACAAACAUUCCUGUUGUCAAAGGACUUUAUUUCCUUCUCCGUCCAACGAGGAGGAGUGAGUCUCAGUUGGAGAUCGACAUAAAGCGCUUAAAAGAAUGGAAGGUGUAUUCGUUAUUUAACUGGUGACAAACAUGAAAACAUCACAAUAAAUACAGUUUACUCAUUUGUCAGCAAGGAGUUUAUCAGACACAUCAAAGCCUUUUUUCUGAAUAUUUAUUCUGGAAAUGUAAAUUCCUGUAAAAAUCCUCAAAUCUGUUUUUACAGAAAUAUUCAAUAAACAUAAUAUGCUUAUGCUA